UGGGGAAUAUUGGGCAAUGGGCGAAAGCCUGACCCAGCAACGCCGCGUGAAGGAAGAAGGUUUUCGGAUUGUAAACUUCUUUUAUCAGGGACGAAAACAAUGACGGUACCUGACUAAGAAGCCCCGGCUAACUACGUGCCAGCAGCCGCGGUAAUACGUAGGGGGCAAGCGUUAUCCGGAUUUACUGGGUGUAAAGGGAGCGUAGACGGCAUGGCAAGUCUGAAGUGAAAGGCCAGGGCUCAACCCUGGGACUGCUUUGGAAACUGUCAGGCUGGAGUGCAGGAGAGGUAAGUGGAAUUCCUAGUGUAGCGGUGAAAUGCGUAGAUAUUAGGAGGAACACCAGUGGCGAAGGCGGCUUACUGGACUGUAACUGACGUUGAGGCUCGAAAGCGUGGGGAGCAAACAGGAUUAGAUACCCUGGUAGU
rnacentral:rRNA from 1 species